CGAUUCUGGCUCAGGACGAACGCUGGCGGCGCGCCUAACACAUGCAAGUCGAACGAGCAAGAGAGAGCUUGCUUUCUCGAGCGAGUGGCGAACGGGUGAGUAACGCGUGAGGAACCUGCCUCAAAGAGGGGGACAACAGUUGGAAACGACUGCUAAUACCGCAUAAGCCCACGGUGCCGCAUGGCACAGAGGGAAAAGGAGCAAUCCGCUUUGAGAUGGCCUCGCGUCCGAUUAGCUAGUUGGUGAGGUAACGGCCCACCAAGGCAACGAUCGGUAGCCGGACUGAGAGGUUGAACGGCCACAUUGGGACUGAGACACGGCCCAGACUCCUACGGGAGGCAGCAGUGGGGAAUAUUGCACAAUGGGGGAAACCCUGAUGCAGCGACGCCGCGUGGAGGAAGAAGGUCUUCGGAUUGUAAACUCCUGUUGUUGGGGAAGAUAAUGACGGUACCCAACAAGGAAGUGACGGCUAACUACGUGCCAGCAGCCGCGGUAAAACGUAGGUCACAAGCGUUGUCCGGAAUUACUGGGUGUAAAGGGAGCGCAGGCGGGAAGACAAGUUGGAAGUGAAAUCUAUGGGCUCAACCCAUAAACUGCUUUCAAAACUGUUUUUCUUGAGUAGUGCAGAGGUAGGCGGAAUUCCCGGUGUAGCGGUGGAAUGCGUAGAUAUCGGGAGGAACACCAGUGGCGAAGGCGGCCUACUGGGCACCAACUGACGCUGAGGCUCGAAAGUGUGGGUAGCAAACAGGAUUAGAUACCCUGGUAGUCCACACCGUAAACGAUGAUUACUAGGUGUUGGAGGAUUGACCCCUUCAGUGCCGCAGUUAACACAAUAAGUAAUCCACCUGGGGAGUACGACCGCAAGGUUGCAACUCAAAGGAAUUGA
rnacentral:rRNA from 1 species